AGCCCGUGCCCUUUCGUUUUCCUACUUCUAUUGCUUUGGCAAUGGCGGCUCGCGGCGUGGGGAUGUUGGCACGUUUACCCCUCUGUGCUCAGAGAGGUCAAGUCCUGCGUCCUACCCACAGGCUUCUCAGUUGCCCAGGCACUGUGGCCACAGACGUUAAGAGAGAAGAGCAGUCCUCGAGGAACGUGGAGACAGGCUCUGAAGACUGGACUCCCAAAAAGAAAUUCUCUGAGGUGCAGAAAGAAAGACGAGAACAGGCACAGCGAACUGUUUUAAUACAUUGCCCGAAUAAAAUCAGUGAAAAAAAGUUUCUGAAAUACUUAUCUCAACAUGGACCUAUUAGUAAUCAUUUCUUCUAUGAGAGCUUUGGUCUUUAUGCUGUUGUGGAGUUUUGUCAAAAGGAAAGUAUCACUUCACUGCAGAACGUAACUCGCACUCCGAGUAUGGACACAGAGGCUGCAAUUCCAUUCAAGUCACGUUUCUUCAAUGUAAAGAUGAAGAAUCCGUCAAACCAGACUUCAGAGCAAUCCUGCAUACCGUACAGUGAUCAUACCCCUCCUUCAAGCAAGAAGCUUUCUCAAUUACUUUGUUAUGCAGAAAGUAUAGAUGAUCAGCUGAACACUCUCCUGAAGGGGCUGCAGCUGACGGAGGAGGACAUUAAGCUCAGAUACCUCACCUGUUCUCUUAUUGAAGACCUCGCAGCUGCGUAUUUUCAGGACUGUACAGUGAGACCCUUUGGCUCCUCCGUGAACAGUUUUGGGAAAUUAGGAUGUGAUUUGGACAUGUUUUUGGAUCUAGGUGAAAUUGGAAAAUUCAACACCAACAAGACCUCCGGAAAUUUUCUGAUGGAAUUUCAAGUGAAAAAUGUUCCUUCAGAAAGGAUUGCAACUCAGAAGAUCCUGUCUGUGAUAGGAGAAUGCCUUGACCACUUUGGCCCUGGUUGUGUGGGUGUACAGAAAAUCUUAAAUGCUCGGUGUCCUCUUGUGAGGUUCUCACACCAGGCCUCGGGAUUUCAGUGUGAUUUGACUACUAAUAAUAGGAUUGCCUUGAAAAGUUCUGAACUCCUUUAUAUUUAUGGUGCUCUCGACUCAAGAGUGAGAGCCUUGGUGUUCUGUAUUCGGUGUUGGGCUCGAGCACAUUCAUUAACGAGUAGUAUUCCUGGUUCUUGGAUUACAAAUUUCUCUCUUACAAUGAUGGUCAUCUUUUUUCUCCAGAGGAGAUCACCCCCUAUUCUUCCAACACUUGACUACCUAAAAACUCUAGCAGGUGCAGAAGAUAAAUGCAUAAUAGAAGGCCACAACUGUACGUUUGUUAGUGACUUGAAUAGAAUUAAACCUUCAGGAAACACAGAAACACUAGAAUCACUACUGAAAGAAUUUUUUGAAUAUUUUGGCAAUUUCGCUUUCAAUAAAAAUUCCAUAAAUAUUCGACAGGGAAGGGAACAAAACAAACCUGAGUCUUCUCCCCUGCAUAUUCAGAAUCCUUUUGAAACUUCUCUCAACAUCAGCAAAAAUGUAAAUCAGAGCCAGCUACAAAAAUUUGUAGAUCUGGCCAGAGAAAGUGCGUGGAUUUUAAGUCAGGAAGAUAAAGAUCGCCCUUCUCCAUCAAGUAAUCGGCCCUGGGGGCUGGCAACGCUGCUGCUUCCUUCAGUGGUAAAUAGUGUGUCUCUUGCCAAGAAGAAAAGGAAGAAGCCUGCAAGUGAAAGAAUUAAAAAUUUGCUGGAAUCCAUAAAAAGUAGCAGUCAAGAAAAUGACACAAACACCAAUGGGAAAAGAACAGUUAGUACUCAGGCAUAAUGGCUCCUCCUUCGCUUUAAGAACUGGUUUCCCCCGAGAACAUGCGCUUUGGGGCGCCUGGAAGAACGGGUGUGAAACACUCAUAGAUGCCCACUGUCAUCCGAUGUCCCUUUUCAUGAUCUUCUCACUGGGCCUCCUCCUCGUCUGAAGUUUUGGGAGCUUUCAGCCUGAUAAGCCUCAGAUCCAUCGGCACCUAGAAGGUCUGCCCCAAGGAAUGGGUGACAGAGGAUUGGAAUGCACUUUAGAUAAACUAUACAAAGCAAGAGGUAAAAAAUCAGUUUUAGAAUCAAACCAUUAUUGAUAUCAACAUUAGGCCCCGGAUGGAAAUCAUUUAAAAGGACUUUGGGGAUCAUAGAGGAGAAGAGAAAAUACAGUCGAAGUAGGACUUCCUGCUGUCAUUACUACGAGCCCCUUCUUCCUUUUGCUCAGGGGCUAUAGUCAUCCUGCUGGUGCCACAGUAGGGAAAAGCUACAUUUGCCUGUGUCUUUUAAGCCAGCACAGGGAACAUCGCAGCAAAGCCAUCAGGAAGAGCAACCAAGCAGUCACAGCUUGCCCAUGUGGCAACUUUGCACUUGCCAGAGUCUGGCAUUCGGUUGAUGAGUUGGGAUUUAAAUGUGGAGGUGGAGAAAGUGAAAUCCUAAAGUACUAAAAGAAACCGUGGAUGAACAUUAUAAAUGUGAAGUAGGGAAGUAUGUCUUUUCAAGUAUGACAUGCACUGAUAAAAGAAUAUAUUGAUAAAUUUGACUACUUUAAAAUAGAAGCUGUGCCACAAAACAGCCAUAAACAAAAUGAAGAAUUCUGGCAAUUACUGAAAAAGGACUAAUCUUUGUAAUACAUAAGAUCUACAAAUCUGUAAGUAAUAGGCAAAAACAAAGACUCCACAGAAGCAACGAAAAUGCACACGUAAAUAGUAAAGAUGAUCAGGUGUACUAAUAAUUCCAUAAGACUUUAUUGUGGAGAAUUUUGAACAAAGUAAACUGAAAAGUACAAUGAAUUUGCAUGAAUCUGUCACUUAUUUCAACACUUUUGGCAAAUUGUGCUUAAUUUAUAACCCUGUUACUUGCCCUUUUUGUAUGAAGCAAAUUUCAGUCAUUCUACCAUUUCAUCUGUAAAUCUGUUUCUCCAGAAGAUACUUUUUCUAACAAAAUCACAAACCAUUAUUAAAUCUAAAUGGAACAGGGAAAAACAAUAAUUCCUGAGUAUCAUCACAUCCGAUUAGUGUUCAGGUUGUCUUACAGAUCUUGCAGUGGUUUUCCCCAAGGACAUUCAUUUGAGUCAGGACCCAGUUGUCCACAUACUCUGGUUGAUGGGCCUGGUUCUGGAGUCUCUUUAAUCUUUAGAUUUCCGUUUCCUCUCCCUUUGUCCUUGCAAGUUACUGAAGAUAAUGGUUUGUCUUAAGUUUCCCACAGUGUGGAUUAUGUGGAUUAUGUCAGCACAUAUGAUUAUGUGCUGUGGACUUGUUCAGCAUGAACUUAAUGACCUAAAAAUAAUUUUCACCAGUUUUAGAAAACUUUCAACCAUUUUUUAUUCU